CUAACGCUGAGGGGUCCCAUAAUAGGACGAAACGGCCGUCCAG
rnacentral:hammerhead_ribozyme from 1 species